GACAACUCCUGGAGAUAUUAACUCAGCUCCCCCCUCAUUGGUCAAGCACUCCACCUCUCUCUCUUCCUUAUCUCUGUUAGCCAAUCUCCCUCUCAGAUAUGCUCUCUCCUCUCCCAGCAGAGGGCUUCAUGCGGGGACAAGCAAGACAGUCAUGGCAGCGGUGCUCGUCCAGGAACAGAGUCACCCCAAAUUCAAGAUGUGUCAGGUACAAAAAUACAAUGGGAUGGAGCUACCAGAAAGUGUCAUCUUGCUUUAGUUCAACUUCAAGAUGAACCCUUAGGCUGGCCGUCAGGAAAUACCGUCAGGAAUGCAUUUCUGUCGGCCAACCGACAGGAAAGGACCGUCUUUCCACACGAUGGACUCCUGUCGGCAAAAUCCUGACGGUUUUCGGUAUUUCCUGACGGUUUUUGGCCGUCAGGAAUCUGCUGAUUUCUGGUAGUAGUUAAAUGCCUCCACGAGUCCUCCACUAUUUCAGGACCUGACCCCCCGGAUCACCUCAAGAUCAUCAUCCUCCUCCUCCUGUGCAGGAGUUGCAGGCCCAUGCUAGUGGUGCAAGGCAAGGUCCUCCUCAGCCUCCUGCAACUUCCCCUCAAGAAACUCAAGUGUAGCUGUCUGAUUAUUCAAUUGCUGCUUAAGAUCCUCCUUCUCCUCUACCAACUGCUGCUCCUGGAGAUUAGCUUGUUUGAGCUUGUGCCCAAAGAAGGCAUUUUCAGCCAUAACAUGUUCAAGCAACUGAAGCAUAGAGGUAGAGUACCGAAUGGGUGUUGCCAACGUUGGUUCAUAGCUAGCAAUGCAAUGCAU